AUUGAACGCUGGCGGCAUGCCUUACACAUGCAAGUCGAACGGUAACAGGCCCUUCGGGGUGCUGACGAGUGGCGGACGGGUGAGUAAUGCUUAGGAAUCUGCCUAGUAGUGGGGGAUAACCCGGGGAAACUCGGGCUAAUACCGCAUACGCCCUACAGGGGAAAGCGGGGGACUUUCGGCCGUCGCGCUAUUAGAUGAGCCUAAGUCCGAUUAGCUAGUUGGUAGGGUAAUGGCCUACCAAGGCGACGAUCGGUAGCUGGUCUGAGAGGACGACCA
rnacentral:rRNA from 1 species